rfam:Triticum aestivum genome assembly, contig: Triticum_aestivum_CS42_TGACv1_scaffold_557507_7AL
UUUCUACUCCCUCCGUCCGAAAAUACUUGUCAUCAAAAUGGAUAAAAAGAGAUGUAUCUAAAACUAAAAUACGUCUAGAUACAUUUCCUUUUAUCCAUUUUGAUGACAAGUAUUUUCGGACGGAGGGAGUAUUUG